GACGAACGCUGGCGGCGUGCUUAACACAUGCAAGUCGAACGGAGUGGCGAACGGGUGAGUAACACGUGGGUGAUCUGCCUUGCACUUCGGGAUAAGCUUGGGAAACUGGGUCUAAUACCGGAUAGUGCAAGAUGAGCUCGCGGCCUAUCAGCUUGUUGGUGGGGUAAUGGCCUACCAAGGCGUCGACGGGUAGCCGGCCUGAGAGGGUGUACGGCCACAUUGGUACUGAGGUACGGCCCAGACUCCUAUGGUAGGCAGCGUUGGCGAAUAGUGCACAAUCGUCGGAAGCCUGUUGCAGCGACUCCGCGUGGGGUAUGAAGGCUCUCUGGUUGUAAACUCCUUUCUAUACGGACGCGGUACCUGUAUAAGAAGCACCGGCUAACUACGUGCCAGCAGCCGCGGUAAUUC
rnacentral:rRNA from 1 species